rnacentral:lncRNA from 1 species
GGGCAGACAAGAAACACAAUCAUGUUGAUAUCUAUUAAGUACAACUAGUACUAACUACUACAAAAACAAAAAAAUUGUGAGAAUUAUGAAAAAGAAAAUGCUAAAGAGAGAUCAAAGAUAUAUAAAAAAAUAAUUAUCAACCUUUAAGGAAUUACAUCAGAGAUAUUCAGAAAAGUAAUGAUCAUUCUACACAAAAAUUAGAGGUUCUCCCAUGAACUUAGUCAAAAUAUCUGUAAGCUAAUCAUUGGAGCAUAAAUUUUAUUUGACAACUUCCCUCAAAUAAAAUGAUUAUCAAUCUCUCUUAGUUUAGUUCUCUCAUGAAAUAUAGGACUAGAUGCAAUGUGAAUAGCUGUUUGCUUAUAAUAGUACAUGCUCAUUUGUCAAAUUUCUGGAGAUUACAACUCCUAGAAUAAUUGUUUUAUCCAUACAGAUUCACAAGGAACUGAUGUCAUCGUCCUAUACUAAACUUUAGCACUAGAUCAAGCAACCACAUUUGGUUACUUGCUUUUCUACAGAACAAUCUUACCUCCAAUGAAAACACGACAUCCAGUAAUGCAUUGUCUAUCUAUAGGAGAUCUUGUUCAAUCAAGAUCAUUAUACACUGUCACCUAAGUAUUUCUCUUAUCUUUACAUAUCAUUCAUGUUCUGGUGUGAAUUACAACAAUUCAAUGGACAAGAUGAGGAGACCGCAUAAAGGAACUAAUCACUCCAACUGCAAAAAGACAACUCAAGUCUAGUAAUAGUGUGAAAUAAAUUUCUCAACAUAUUGUAUGUUUUUUGGUCCAAGAAGAACUCACUUUGUUUUGUCACUAGUUUCUGAUUUGGAUCCAUUGGACUAUUCAAAGGUCUACAAUCAAUCAUACAAAUUCCUUUUAGGAUAUUGAAGGUGUAUUUGCUUUGAGAAAUUACAAUAUCUUCCUUUUGCUUGAACUAUUUCAAUGACCAUAAAGUAUUUAAGAUAUCCAAAAUCUUUGAUCUAAGUAAUUGCAUAAAUGCUUCUUUGAAAAAUGCUGGAAAAUGCUUACGAGAGAUUGUUUCAUCUCUUGGCAAAGUUAUCCAUUUAAAGGAACCCUUAUAUUAAAGGUAUACAAAAUAAUAAUGAUCCAACUACACAUAGGUCAAAUAGGUAAUACAAUGUAUAAGUUAACAUAUUUAACAUGGUUAAACAAUUACGACAGAAAUAUCAUUAAUUAUAAUAAAGUAAAUACAAAGUAUAUUGCUUUGAGAUGACAAUCGUCACAAGUUCUCAGCAGAAUAGAAGAUAGUAUGGACUGGAUCAAAUCUAAAAUGAACUAUAUUUAUACUUGUUU